GGAGGCAACGGGGAUUCGACUUCCCCUGGGGGUA
rnacentral:tRNA from 1 species